CUCUCUGGUUUUUCUUCUUGCGUUUUCUCCCUCCUGGAUAUUUUCUUCUCUGGGAAUAUUUCUUUCUUCUUUUUUUUUUCAAAUCCUCUAAGAACAAGAUAUGAGCUGUGAGAAAUGAAUGGGUUUUGGCGAUUCAUUUGAAUGAUGGUGUUGUAUCAGGGAGCAUCUUACUUCUUCCUCUCUUGGCUGCCAUUGUUUCUUUUUAAGGGAGUACAAGUCUAGGGUUUGAUAUUCAUGAAUAUGUUAGCUGAAAUUGUUAAUUCUUGGUGAUGAAAUUAGCUUAACAAGGAUUCAAAUCCUGAACAUCCCACUUGCAAUCGAAGUAUCUUAUUUUCCGUAUACCGGAUGAAGCUGAAUUUUUAGUAUGUUGUUUAUAUAUGUGGUCAAUCUACGGAAUUGGACUGUACGUGUUUGGAGCUUGAAGUUGUCAUGGAUGUAUUGAAAUUUUAAUUGGUUUAAAUGGUGUUGUAUGGAUUUUAUUUCAACUUAGUGCUCAAGUUUUCAAUCAUGGUUUCUUAUAUAUGAACCAUAUGAUGUCUUUCUCGACGUCAUUGCAUGAGUUAACAAUUGUUGGUAUUCUAGUGUACUCUUUAUGGCUCAUGGAACAUCAACUUGUUUACGAACGACAUAAUAGUGGGGUUUCCAUGAGAAUAAUUAUGAGCACAGUUAGUUAAGAGGACUUGGUAGUUGUACAAAUGAUAAGCCACUUUUUAGUAUUCUCACUCUUGCACACUACCCAUACAAAUGUUGUGACAGUAAGCAUCAUCUACUACGAAUGGUGAAAGUCAUGGUUAUCACCAUCACUAGAUUCAUUGUGCAUGUUAAUACAGUUGCAUUUCUACUUGGCUUGGGAAAUCUUGCAGUUAUCCUUAUUGUCUAAUAUACUCAGGGAAUGACUCUUCAUUCCUUGUUUGAAGUUAUCAUUAUUACUCACUAGCUUGAUCUCCAGGAUGUUUGUAUAAAAUCUACUUGACGCUACUAACGUCCAGAGACUUAGGAACUCGUUUAAAUUCGUUAAUUUUAUUUCGUACACAUAUUCUUAGUUCCAGACUUGGGGAUGGGUGCUCUAUCCAACUCUACCUGAAUUCUACAUUUGGUGUCGUAGGCAGGUACGAUUGGAAAUGGAGACACUUUCUAUUGCUUUCAUGUUACUGUUUUAUUUUCUAAAGUCACUAUGAAGUGCAUACACUUGUCACCAUUUUGUGAUGUAGAUAAAUUUAUGCUUUGGUGAGACAGUUUGUCCAACACGAGCAAGCUUGAUCUCUUUGGUGCCACAUUUAGUUGUUUCACUAAUUAGGUAUACAUAAACCACUACUAGUUCUUUAUUGAAUGGUGACUUGCUUAAAUUGUAUAAGGCCAAGAUAUGAGAUAAUAUCAAUGGACAGUCUUUAUUCAUUUCACUACCUCAAUGGUAACUAACCUUACUUAAUGAUCUCAUCCUAUUUAGCUGACACUAAUAGGUAUUAUGAUUGUAAUAAGCUGGGAACUUGUAUCAUUAAUGAUUAACGGAAAUGGUUAUUAAAUUAGGCAUUGGAGUUUUGUGGAUAACAUUUUCUCACCUUGAUAUUGUAGCCUUCGUUUGUGCUGAUAAUUGUCGAAAACGAUGAAAGUAGUGUAAGGCUACAUUUUGUUCUGUACUCUUUAGUUUGUUGUGUUUGAAAUGCAAUCUAUUGUCAAUCACUUUUAUUAACGGAUAUCAACUUAUUUAGUGGCACAUUCUCUACAAGUUUUAAGUUAGGAUUUUGACCUUGUUUGUUACAGGCGUUUAUGUAGAAUGUCUGUGCAUAGAAACUGGUCAUAGAUAUAUAUGAGCUAUCAACUGAUUUCUUCUUU